GAUAUCCCAACCCGAACCCCAAGCUGCAAACAUUCGAUAUUAUCAGAAAUCGAAGCACACGCGAGUUGCAUUAUGCUUCGGUCUUCAACAAAGAAGAAGAAUCACCAUGAAAUUUUGAAGAGAAUUUUGAAGAGAAUUUUGAAGAGAAUUUUGAAGAACAACAAGCAUUCUGCUCUACCAAAAUCCAGUCUCCAUAACAAUCCGGUGAAAUUUAGCGUAUGAGCGCUUUCACGAUUGUGUUCGGGUCAUCCGUGGAUUUCAAUUGGAAAAUCGAAAUACGGACAAAAACCGAAACCUCGACGUUAUGGAGUUCUGGCUUGAAGCUAGCGUCUCUAUAAGCUUUCAUCGGUGGUUAAAGCAAAUGCUUAAGCAGGGCAUCAGAAAGAAACAAAAAUCAACAGCAUAAGGACUAAACGAAGUUACAUAUUUUAUAUUAGGGAAGCAGUAAAGUUUUUCAGGGCUAUUUCAUGGAAGGUGAUGCAAGGAUGUUGAAAGCGUUGGUUAGAAGUUUGACAAUCGAAGAAUACUCGAAGACUAUCACAAAAGCUAUAUAAAAAAAUAAUGAUUGGAAUCAAAUUUAUGUAACUUGUAGUUUUUGGUUUAGGCUUUUAGGACUUUGCAUUUGAAAGAUAAAUAUUCUCUGUAAUUUAAAGAAAUUCUCUAGUAAAUUCACUUCCAACACUAAAGAAACAUCCUUAUGAAUUUCGUCCUUUGAA